rnacentral:rRNA from 1 species
AGAGUUUGAUCAUGGCUCAGAACGAACGCUGGCGGCGUGGAUAAGACAUGCAAGUCGAACGCUAUACCCGGUGUAGCAAUACAUCGGGUGUGGAGUGGCGCAAGGGUGCGUAACACGUGGGUAAUUUGCCGUGAAGUUGGGGAUAACUCGCUGAAAGGCGAGCUAAUACCGGAUGUGAAGUUUGGGUGGCAUCAUUUGAACUUUAAAGCUGGGGAUCGCAAGACCUGGCGCUUCAUGAUAAGCCCGCGGCCUAUCAGCUAGUUGGUGAGGUAACGGCUCACCAAGGCUAAGACGGGUAGCUGGUCUGAGAGGACGACCAGCCACACUGGAACUGAGACACGGUCCAGACACCUACGGGUGGCAGCAGUCGAGAAUUUUUCUCAAUGGGCGAAAGCCUGAAGGAGCGACGCCGCGUGGGGGAUGAAGGGUUUCGAUCCGUAAACCCCUGUCAUUCGUGAACAAUGCUCACGAUUUAAAAGAUGGUGAGUUGAUAGUAACGGAAGAGGAAGGGACGGCUAACUCUGUGCCAGCAGCCGCGGUAAUACAGAGGUCCCGAGCGUUGUUCGGAUUCACUGGGCGUAAAGGGUGCGUAGGUGGCCUGAAAAGUUUGAUGUGAAAGCUCAGGGCUUAACCCUGAAAUGGCAUUGAAUACUGUCGGGCUGGAGGAUUGGAGGGGGGACUGGAAUUCUUGGUGUAGCAGUGAAAUGCGUAGAUAUCAAGAGGAACACCAGUGGCGAAGGCGAGUCCCUGGACAACACCUGACACUGAGGCACGAAAGCUAGGGGAGCAAACAGGAUUAGAUACCCUGGUAGUCCUAGCCCUAAACGGUGCGCGCUUGCUGUAGAGGAAUCGACCCCUCUUGUGGCGAAGCUAACGCGAUAAGCGCGCCGCCUGGGGAGUACGGUCGCAAGAUUAAAACUCAAAGAAAUUGACGGGGCCUGCACAAGCGGUGGAGUAUGUGGCUUA